rnacentral:tRNA from 1 species
GAAAUAUUUAUAUUUUGAAUUUCUAAUUCAAUUAAAAAUAAUUAAUAUUAUUUAUAUUUCU